AUUGAACGCUGGCGGCAUGCCUUACACAUGCAAGUCGAACGGUAACAGGUCUUCGGAUGCUGACGAGUGGCGAACGGGUGAGUAAUACAUCGGAACGUGCCUAGUAGUGGGGGAUAACUACUCGAAAGAGUGGCUAAUACCGCAUGAGAUCUACGGAUGAAAGCAGGGGAUCGAAAGACCUUGUGCUACUAGAGCGGCCGGUGGCAGAUUAGGUAGUUGGUGGGAUAAAAGCUUACCAAGCCGACGAUCUGUAGCUGGGCUAAGAGGACGAUAAGCCACACUGGGACUGAGCCACGGCCCAGACUCCUACGGGAGGCAGCAGUGGGGAAUUUUGGACAAUGGGCGAAAGCCUGAUCCAGCAAUGCCGCGUGCAGGAUGAAGGCCUUCGGGUUGUAAACUGCUUUUGUACGGAACGAAAAGCCCUGGGUUAAUACCCUGGGGUCAUGACGGUACCGUAAGAAUAAGCACCGGCUAACUACGUGCCAGCCGCCGCCGUAAGAC
rnacentral:rRNA from 1 species